rnacentral:piRNA from 3 species
UCUGAUACGUCCUCUAUCCGAGGAC